UACGUAGGGUGCAAGCGUUGUCCGGAAUUAUUGGGCGUAAAGAGCUCGUAGGCGGUUUGUCGCGUCGGCUGUGAAAACCCGAGGCUCAACCUCGGGCCUGCAGUCGAUACGGGCAAACUAGAGUGCGGUAGGGGAGACUGGAAUUCCUGGUGUAGCGGUGAAAUGCGCAGAUAUCAGGAGGAACACCGGCGGCGAAGGUGGGUCUCUGGGCCGUAACUGACGCUGAGGAGCGAAAGCGUGGGGAGCGAACAGG
rnacentral:rRNA from 1 species